rnacentral:rRNA from 1 species
GGGCAAAGCCUGACGCAGCGACGCCGCGUGGGGGAAGAAGGCCUUCGGGUUGUAAACCUCUUUUCUUGGUGAAGAGAAAGGACGGUAACCAAGGAAUAAGCCUCGGCUAACUACGUGCCAGCAGCCGCGGUAAUACGUAGGAGGCGAGCGUUAUCCGGAUUUACUGGGCGUAAAGGGCGUGUAGAUGGCUUCUUAAGUCAGCUGUGAAAUCUCCUGGCUCAACUGGGAGAGGUCAGUUGAUACUGAGGAGCUUGAGGGCAGCAGAGGAAGAUGGAAUUCCCGGUGUAGUGGUGAAAUGCGUAGAUAUCGGGAGGAACACCAGUGGCGAAGGCGGUCUUCUGGGCUGUUUCUGACAUUGAGGCGCGAAAGCGUGGGGAGUGAAGCGGAUCAGAUACCCGCGUAAUCCACGCUAUAAACGGUGGAUACUANGUAUGGGGGGUAUCGACNCUCUCCGUGCCGCCAGCUAACGUUGUAAGUAUCCCGCCUGGGGACUACGGCCCGCUANGUUAAANCUCAAANAAAUUGGACNNA